UAAAUAGAAUUUAAAGGCUGAAUUUGAAAAUUAAAAAUGAGAAAAGGAGCAAAUUAAAUCACGCGUAACAGAAGGAGGACCAAAAGAGCAAAUUAUCCAAACCGCUCAAGCACUGCGCAGCAACAUGGAUUGAACUAAAAACAGCAUUAAAAUAUAUUGCGUAAUUUAAAAAUAUAAAAAAAACUGAUUUAAUCACCCAAAAAAAAAACAAAGGACCAAUAGUGCAAAUGGCCCAUUUUGAACCCAUUUCAAAACCCAAAACUCAUUUCCCCUCUGCCAUUUGAAGAUUUGCGCCGCAGCCUCUUUUCGCUUUCGCUCCAAAUCCUUUCCAUUUCCGACCAGAAGUCGAUGAAUCCGGGACACCCUCCGACGAUUCAGAACGGCGUGGGCGUUGUGCGAGGACGCGGGGCGGUUACUGCGACGUGCGUGCUGAAACUGCUGCAACAGAGGCUGCUUCUAAGUUUCUGCUGUUUUGUUUUUGUUAUGGGCUAAUAUUUGGGCUAAUUUGGGUUUAAUCUAGGCUUGGGUUAAUUGGGUUUAGUAAUGGGCUAUUAGCUUUUUAGUCAGGCCAAAAUUGGCCUAUUACAUUAUUCACAGCAAUUAGAAUGAAUAGUUAUUCCAUCUA